rnacentral:lncRNA from 1 species
CUUGUGUUCCUCUUAUAACUGUUAGAAACGACCACCCCUACCCCCAAAACCCUUUUCAGAUCAUCGCCCUUUCCCUUCUCUCACCAUCUGCCACAAGCCAUCGCCGGAAUUCGUCCACUACGACGGCCAACCUCUAACUACCCACAAAUUAAUACCAGAUAUUCAUUGUUUUCUCCUCACGACCAUCCCACAUUUAGCUUCUUCUAAAACCUCAAUGAAAUUCUCGAUAGAUCUAAGAACUGAACCCUAGCUACCACUCGGUCUUUUUUAAUUUCCUCGAUCGAUCUGUCAGCUUUUACGGUUGAGACUUACAUCAUUAGAAAGCUGUUGAUGAGAGCUAUCCAC